AUUGAACGCUGGCGGAGUGCUUUACACAUGCAAGUCGAACGGCAGCACGGACUUCGGUCUGGUGGCGAGUGGCGAACGGGUGAGUAAUGUAUCGGAACGUGCCCAGUCGUGGGGGACAACGUAGUGAAAAUUACGCUAAUACCGCAUACGAUCUAUGGAUGAAAGCGGGGGAUCGCAAGACCUCGCGCGAUUGGAGCGGCCGAUAUCAGAUUAGGUAGUUGGUGGGGUGAAGGCCCACCAAGCCAACGAUCUGUAGCUGGUCUGAGAGGACGACCAGCCACACUGGAACUGAGACGCGGUCCAGACUCCUACGGGAGGAAGCAGUGGGGAAUUGUGGACAAUGGGCGAAAGCCUGAUCCAGCCAUUCCGCGUGCAGGAUGAAGGCCCUCGGGUUGUAAACUGCUUUUGUACAGAACGAAAAGGUUUCUACUAAUACUAGGAGCUCAUGACGGUACUGUAAGAAUAAGCACCGGCUAACUACGUGCCAGCCGCCGCCGUAA
rnacentral:rRNA from 1 species